UUCAAAAGCAUCCUUAUAUGGGUGCUCAAGACUGGUUACUCACUGAAGCAAAGCAGGACUGAGCCUGGUCAGAACCUGGAUGGAAGACCACAUGGAAACUAGGUUGCUAUUGGAA
rnacentral:rRNA from 1 species